UGCAGUCGACGGAAGGCCCCUUCGGGGGUACUCGAGUGGCGAACGGGUGAGUAACACGUGGGUGAUCUGCCCUGAACUCUGGGAUAAGCCUGGGAAACUGGGUCUAAUACCGGAUAUGACUUCUGGUCGCAUGGUGGGGGGUGGAAAGCUUUUGCGGUUUGGGAUGGGCCCGCGGCCUAUCAGCUUGUUGGUGGGGUAAUGGCCUACCAAGGCGACGACGGGUAGCCGACCUGAGAGGGUGAUCGGCCACACUGGGACUGAGACACGGCCCAGACUCCUACGGGAGGCAGCAGUGGGGAAUAUUGCACAAUGGGCGCAAGCCUGAUGCAGCGACGCCGCGUGAGGGAUGACGGCCUUCGGGUUGUAAACCUCUUUCGCCAGGGACGAAGCGCAAGUGACGGUACCUGGAGAAGAAGCACCGGCCAACUACGUGCCAGCAGCCGCGGUAAUACGUAGGGUGCGAGCGUUGUCCGGAAUUACUGGGCGUAAAGAGCUCGUAGGCGGUUUGUCGCGUCGUCUGUGAAAUUCUGCAACUCAAUUGCAGGCGUGCAGGCGAUACGGGCAGACUUGAGUACUACAGGGGAGACUGGAAUUCCUGGUGUAGCGGUGAAAUGCGCAGAUAUCAGGAGGAACACCGGUGGCGAAGGCGGGUCUCUGGGUAGUAACUGACGCUGAGGAGCGAAAGCGUGGGGAGCGAACAGGAUUAGAUACCCUGGUAGUCCACGCCGUAAACGGUGGGUACUAGGUGUGGGGCUCAUUUCACGAGUU
rnacentral:rRNA from 1 species